UACGGAGGGGGUUAGCGUUGUUCGGAAUUACUGGGCGUAAAGCGCGCGUAGGCGGAUUAGUCAGUUAGAGGUGAAAUCCCAGGGCUCAACCCUGGAACUGCCUUUAAUACUGCUAGUCUUGAGUUCGAGAGAGGUGAGUGGAAUUCCGAGUGUAGAGGUGAAAUUCGUAGAUAUUCGGAGGAACACCAGUGGCGAAGGCGGCUCACUGGCUCAAUACUGACGCUGAGGUGCGAAAAGCGGUAGGGACGCAAAACAGGAUUAGAUACCCCCGUGUCAUCCA
rnacentral:rRNA from 1 species